rnacentral:rRNA from 1 species
GACGAACGUUGGCGGUGCGCUUAAUGCAUGCAAGUCGAGCGAGAAGCAGUCGUUCCGUAAGGUUCGACUGUGGACAGCGGCGAACGGGUGCGUAACACGUGAGAAACCUGCCCCCCAGACCGGGAUAGCCCAGGGAAACCUGGAUUAAUACCGGAUACUCUCCUCGGACCGCAUGGUCUGUUGAGGAAACAGUCCGCUGCUGGGGGAUGGUCUCGCGGCCUAUCAGGUAGUUGGUGAGGUAACGGCUCACCAAGCCGAAGACGGGUAGCUGGUCUGAGAGGACGAUCAGCCACACUGGAACUGAGACACGGUCCAGACUCCUACGGGAGGCAGCAGCAGGGAAUAUUGCACAAUGGGCGAAAGCCUGAUGCAGCGACACCGCGUGCGGGAUGAAGGCCUUCGGGUUGUAAACCGCUUUCAGGAGGGAAGAAACUGACGGUACCUCCAGAAGAAGCUCCGGCCAACUACGUGCCAGCCGCCGCCGUAACAC